GUAACGGGAAGGAAGUCAGUGUCGGUGACUCUGCUAAGCUAGCGGCGUCACGUUACGUGCGUAUGACGUCAUGCGCCGUCGAUUAGGAAGCGGCUUAUACUUCCGGUUAGGAAAAAACCCGCCCGUGUUCUAUUUGAGAUGAUAUAGCUUUCUAAAAUUCAUACACUAGACGGUGGUGCAGAGUGCAGAGUUUUCCACACAGAUCUAGCUGAUUGCUUGAUUGGUCCCGCUUGGCAGGAAAAUGGCCUGUUGAAGUGUGUGAGAAGCAGGUGCAGGACUUGGCCCCAGCAGCCCCAGCCUGUGGCCACGGCACGGAAUAAUAGCAGCAGUGUUUCUACACAGUGGAGCGCUGUCACAACCAGCCACUUGCAAAAAUACGACACGUUUUUCAUAGACGUGUGCGCCGGGAAGGAGAAGCUCAAAGAUGAGAACGGGUUUCCUUUUGAGUCUGGUUCCUCUCAAGGUUUCUCCCUCAUGCUGUCUCAUGGAGUGUUUGCUUGCCACUGUCACCUCUGGAUGUGGAAGGGACUGCCGGUCAACUUGAAGGACACCGAGCAGCUGUUUGUGUGCUUUGGGGAGUACCAUAAGCCGGCUUCGCUGUCUAAGGACUGGUUAGGCCACUGCCUAAAGGACGUGAUUACACAGGCAUACUCACAUGCAAGUCAAGAGACACAUUCUUCCAUUAAAAGUCAUUUCAUAUGUGCUAUGGAUACUUUUGUGGUGGUACUAAGCUGAGUGUCACUCUUGAAGCAGUGACAUCAUGCUCAACGUUCAUCUUCACCAGAUUUAACUGACUGAAUGUCGCUUCAUUGCACCCCAUGUACUCUGAUUCAGUAGCCAGCAAAAUGACAACUAACACUCUGUCCUCAAUAGAAAUUAUUUACGAGCGCUGUCCAUUAUUGUCUGGGGAUGCACUAUCAGGACAUGUUGUAAACCCCUUGUGACGACGUUUCAAAAAGAAAAUGCCCUGGUGGUCCAGAAUGAAAGGAAGUAGAACGAAAGUUUAUGUUUGUAACUGCGGUUCUAUGGCUAAGUGGAACCUUCUGGGUUAGGUGGGUUAAAGAGAAUGUCCAAGGGCAAGCGUGACAUAGCAGAGACCUUUUAUAGGCUAGCAACAAGGUCAUGGUCAUGAGGUGAAAACGUUGCUAUUAGUAUGCGGAAAAGGAAAUGAACGAGGGAGUGCCCGGGUCCGUGGGCACUCUGGAGCUCGAGCAUUUGAAAACAUUUGUGUAACACUUAACAUUUGUUGGAGUAUAAUAUCAGUGGCAUUAGCUGCCGUAGUGUCCAUUUUAGACACAUUUUCAGACUUCUACAUAUAUUACCCGUUCAAAGCAGCAGUGACUCAACAAAACUACAGAGCGACAUUCGUUUUCAACAGAAGCUGGUUAAAUAAUGUGUCAAGAACCACAUACUAGUGUAUUAAC
ensembl:lncRNA